AGGUGCUGUGACCGUAGACGAAGCGCUGAGACGACGUUUGGAACCAUUCUCUUGGAAACAUCUGAUACUUUUGGGCUUUGCCAUGGCCUUACCCUUCAUCCUGUUGGCAGGAGUUCUUUUUGCGACUAAGAUGCUUAUGGAAGAAGAAAGUAAUAAGGAUAUACCGCAAG